ACGCGCGGAACCUUACCAGGUCUUGACAUCCUUCGCUACUUCUAGAGAUAGAAGGUUCCCCUUCGGGGGACGAAGUGACAGGUGGUGCAUGGUUGUCGUCAGCUCGUGUCGUGAGAUGUUGGGUUAAGUCCCGCAACGAGCGCAACCCUUGAUCUUAGUUGCCAGCAUUCAGUUGGGCACUCUAAGGUGACUGCCGGUGACAAACCGGAGGAAGGUGGGGAUGACGUCAAAUCAUCAUGCCCCUUAUGACCUGGGCUACACACGUGCUACAAUGGAUGGUACAAAGGGCUGCAAGACCGCGAGGUUUAGCCAAUCCCAUAAAACCAUUCUCAGUUCGGAUUGCAGGCUGCAACUCGCCUGCAUGAAGCUGGAAUCGCUAGUAAUCGCGGAUCAGCAUGCCGCGGUGAAUACGUUCCCGGGCCUUGCACACACCGCCCGU
rnacentral:rRNA from 1 species